GACGAACGCUGGCGGCGUGCUUAACACAUGCAAGUCGAACGGAAAGGCCCUGCUUUUGUGGGGUGCUCGAGUGGCGAACGGGUGAGUAACACGUGAGUAACCUGCCCUUGACUUUGGGAUAACUUCAGGAAACUGGGGCUAAUACCGGAUAGGAGCUCCUGCUGCAUGGUGGGGGUUGGAAAGUUUCGGCGGUUGGGGAUGGACUCGCGGCUUAUCAGCUUGUUGGUGGGGUAGUGGCUUACCAAGGCUUUGACGGGUAGCCGGCCUGAGAGGGUGACCGGCCACAUUGGGACUGAGAUGCGGCCCAGACUCCUACGGGAGGCAGCAGUGGGGAAUAUUGCACAAUGGGCGGAAGCCUGAUGCAGCAACGCCGCGUGCGGGAUGACGGCCUUCGGGUUGCAAACCGCUUUCGCCUGUGACGAAGCGUGAGUGACGGUAAUGGGUAAAGAAGCACCGGCUAACUACGUG
rnacentral:rRNA from 1 species